GGAAGUAAAAGUCGUAACAAGGUCUCCGUUGGUGAACCAGCGGAGGGAUCAUUAACGAGUUCCAUUCUCCUUAAUACACCCGUGAACGUUUCUUCAACUGUUCGUUGCUUCGGCGGGCGGCCCCGGGGAGGGGCCGCAGCCCGCAAGGGCGCCCGCCGGCGGCAGCGCAGCACAACUCUUGCGAUUUAGGCCCCUCUGAGAAGACACUAAAUGAGUCAAAACUUUCAACAACGGAUCUCUUGGUUCUGGCAUCGAUGAAGAACGCAGCGAAAUGCGAUAAGUAAUGUGAAUUGCAGAACUCAGCGAAUCAUCGAAUCUUUGAACGCACAUUGCGCCCGCCGGCAUUCCGGCGGGCAUGCCUGUUCGAGCGUCAUUUCAACCCUCGAGCCCUGCUCGGUGUUGGGGCCCCGCGGCCGCCGCGGGCCCUGAAAAGAAGUGGCGGGCGCGCCUGGACCCGUAGCGCAGUAAUACACCUCGCUCGCGGCGUCCCGGCGCGUGCCGGCCGUAAAACCCCUUUAUCUCAAGGUGA
rnacentral:rRNA from 1 species